AACAGGGGUGGAUUCUAGAACAGGGGGUGGAUUCUAGAACAGGGGUGGAUUCUAGAACAGGGGUGGAAUCUAGAACAGAUGUUGUUUCUAGAAUAUAUGUUGUUUCUAGAAUAUAUGUUGUUUCUAGAAUAUAUGUUGUUUCUAGAAUAUAUGUUGAUUCUAGAAUAUAUGUUGAUUCUAGAAUAUAUGUUGAUUCUAGAAUAUAUGUUGAUUCUGGAAUAUAUGUAGAUUCUGGAAUAUAUGUAGAUUCUGGAAUAUAUGUAGAUUCUAGAAUAUAUGUUGUUUCUAGAAUAUAUGUUGAUUCUAGAAUAUAUGUUGAUUCUAGAAUAUAUGUUGUUUCUAGAAUAUAUGUUGAUUCUAGAAUAUAUGUUGAUUCUAGAAUAUAUGUUGUUUCUAGAAUAUAUGUUGAUUCUAGAAUAUAUGUUGAUUCUAGAAUAUAUGUUGUUUCUAGAAUAUAUGUUGAUAUUCUAGAAUAUAUGUUGAUUCUAGAACAGAUGGUGAUUCUAGAAUAUAUGUUGAUUCUAGAACAGAUGGUGAUUCUAGAAUGGGGGGAUUCUAGAACAGGGCUGGCCCCAUGGACCAUUAUUAGAGAAAGAGCAUAGAGGUAGAAAGAGGGCUCUAGAUGGAUAUAACCUGGUUUGAUGAGUUCUCUUUCUACCUCUAUGAGAAGAGGGUUGCAAUUGACUGUGUACAUAGUAGUCCCUCUGUGUUUUCUACUCAGAUUUAUAACACCUGACUGGUGUUUUCUGCUCGGGUUUAAAACACAUCUCUGACUGGUGUUUUCUGCUCUGGUUUAAAACACAGCUCUGACUGGUGUUUUCUGCUCUGGUUUAAAACACAUCUCGGACUGCUAUGCACAUGCCUUAACUAACAACCUUGAUGUGUUUGUCACGAUGACGAUGAUGAUGCUAAGAAUAAAAACAUUUGUGUUUACACACCCAUACAUACACACUUCCCAUGGUUUUCAUUUGGGGGAUGGCGAGACAGGUAGAGGGAGGAACUCUUGAUUCAAGGAUUUUGGUUUUGUGAGAAGCAGUGAACGAGUGCACACUUCAGAAGAAAGGAGAUAUUAUUGGGACGCCCCCUAUAUGCUCUCCUCAGUCAGAAGCCAUGUCAGCAAUUCGCUAUAUAAACAGGUCUGUCUGUUGUUGAAGUGGGAGGGACAGAGAUGAUAAGAGGUUAGUCUGUCUGUUGUUGAAGAUGAUGGGAGGGACGUUAUGAAUACAGUCCCUGGUAGUCUACCAUCUACCAUCUACAUUAUGAAUACAGUCCCUGAGAAUCUACCAUCUACAUUAUGAAUACAGUCCCUGAUAGUCUACCAUCUACAUUAUGAAUACAGUCCCUGAUAGUCUACCAUCUACAUUAUGAAUACAGUCCCUGAGAGUCUACCAUCUACAUUAUGAAUACAGUCCCUGAUAGUCUACCAUCUACAUUAUGAAUACAGUCCCUGGUAGUCUACCAUCUACAUUAUGAAUACAGUCCCUGAGAGUCUACCAUCUACAUUAUGAAUACAGUCCCUGAUAGUCUACCAUCUACCAUCUACAUUAUGAAUACAGUCCCUGAGAGUCUACCAUCUACAUUAUGAAUACAGUCCCUGGUAGUCUACCAUCUACCAUCUACAUUAUGAAUAUAGUCCCUGAUAGUCUACCAUCUACAUUAUGAAUACAGUCCCUGAGAGUCUACCAUCUACCAUCUACAUUAUGAAUACAGUCCCUGAGAGUCUACCAUCUACCAUCUACAUUAUGAAUACAGUCCCUGAGAGUCUACCAUCUACCAUCUACAUUAUGAAUACAGUCCCUGAUAGUCUACCAUCUACAUUAUGAAUAUAGUCCCUGAUAAUCUACCAUCUACAUUAUGAAUACAGUCCCUGAUAGUCUACCAUCUACCAUCUACAUUAUGAAUACAGUCCCUGAUAGUCUACCAUCUACAUUAUGAAUACAGUCCCUGAGAGUCUACCAUCUACCAUCUACAUUAUGAAUACAGUCCCUGAUAAUCUACCAUCUACAUUAUGAAUACAGUCCCUGAUAGUCUACCAUCUACAUUAUGAAUACAGUCCCUUGAUAUCUACCAUCUACCAUCUACAUUAUGAAUACAGUCCCUGAUAGUCUACCAUCUACCAUCUACAUUAUGAAUACAGUCCCUGAUAGUCUACCAUCCACCACCUGUCCUGUGACUUCUAAUAGGCUCUCGUGAAGGACAGGAAGUGAGAGACAGAGGGAAGGAAGACGUUUUAGACACACCCAAUGAAACUGUUCAUUAAGAACCAAUACAAUAGAACUUGUAUUGACUAUUCAACCCCCCCUCUGGAGCGGUUUGUCUCACUACGACAUCACUCUCUGGAUCCUUGACUUUAUAGGGUCCCCUGACGUUGUGAUUCUGGCAGGAUUUCAUCCAUUCUAUUGAUGUUUCCCAAAUGGCACCCUAUUCCCUAUAAUAGUGCACUACUUUAGACCAGAGCCCUAUGGCACCCUAUUCCCUAUAUAGUGCACUACUUUAGACCAGAGCCCUAUUCCCUAUAAUAGUGCACUACUUUAGACCAGAGCCUUAUUCCCU
rnacentral:lncRNA from 1 species